rnacentral:lncRNA from 1 species
UGCAUAGUCUUUAGUUCCAAACAGAAGAGCCAGACACAUGAUACAUUCAGGUGUAGCUUUUAGUUCCUUAUCCUCUCCAAUUUUGCACGCAGGUCGGGAAGGCACGAAAUGGAGAGUCACACUGAAAACUUCUCUCCUUCCUCAAUCUCGACCGUCCAAGGCAUGAUGGUGCUCAACCUGAAAAUCUUCAGAAGGCAAUGGGUUCAGUUAACUCAACGCAAGCCUUAGCAUGAUUUAUAUUUAUAAGAAGAUGCUUACGGAGGGCAACUCAACUUUG